AGUGAACGCUGGCGGUAGGCCUAACACAUGCAAGUCGAACGGCAGCACAGUAAGAGCCUGCUCUUACGGGUGGCGAGUGGCGGACGGGUGAGGAAUACAUCGGAAUCUACUUUUUCGUGGGGGAUAACGUAGGGAAACUUACGCUAAUACCGCAUCCGCCCUACGGGUGAAAGCAGGGGAUCUUCGGACCUUGCGCGAUUGAAUGCGCCGAUGUCGGAUUAGCUAGUUGGCGGGGUAAAGGCCAACCAAGGCGACGAUCCGUAGCUGGUCUGAGAGGAUGAUCAGCCACACUGGAACUGAGACACGGUCCAGACUCCUACGGGAGGCAGCAGUGGGGAAUAUUGGACAAUGGGCGCAAGCCUGAUCCAGCCAUACCGCGUGGGUGAAGAAGGCCUUCGGGUUGUAAAGCCCUUUUGUUGGGAAAGAAAAGCAGCAGGUUAAUACCCCGCUGUUCUGACGGUACCCAAAGAAUAAGCACCGGCUAACUUCGUG
rnacentral:rRNA from 1 species